rnacentral:rRNA from 1 species
GACUCGGCUCCGAGCCCCUACCGGAGCACGCAGUGGGCAAUUUGACAUGAUCCAGCUGAUCCAGCAUUCGCGUGUUGAGAGCCUUAGGUGUAAAGCACUCAGGUGGAGGAAAAGUAUGGCUAAUACCAUGACGUGACAUAACUCAGAAUAAGGACGGCUAUCGUGCAGCAGCGCGGUAUACGAAGGUCAAGCGUAUCGGAAUUACUGGGCGUAAAGCGCGCGUAGGUGGUUUAUUAAGUUGGAUGUGAAAUCCCCGGGCUCAACCUGGGAACUGCAUCCAAAACUGAUUCACUAGAGUACGAUAGAGGGAGGUAGAAUUCACAGUGUAGCGGUGGAAUGCGUAGAUAUUGUGAAGAAUACCAAUGGCGAAGGCAGCCUCCUGGAUCUGUACUGACACUGAGGUGCGAAAGCGUGGGUAGCGAACAGGAUUAGAUACCCUGGUAGUCCACGCCGUAAACGAUGUCAACUAGCUGUUGGGGAACUAUGUUCUUCAGUGGCGCAGCUAACGUAGUAAGUUGACCGCCUGGGGAGUACGGCCGCAAGGCUAAAACUCAAAUGAAUUGACGGGGACCCGCACAAGCGGUGGAGCAUGUGGUUUAAUUCGAUGCAACGCGAAAAACCUUACCUAUACUUGACAUACUUGGAAUGCUUUGUAAUGAAGCAGUGCCUUCGGGAGCCAGGAUACAGGUGCUGCAUGGCUGUCGUCAGCUCGUGUCGUGAGAUGUUCCGUUAAGUCGGAUAACGAGCGCAACCCUUACCCUUAUUUGCCAGCGAUUCGGUCGGGAACUAUAAGGGGACUGCCGGUGAUAAACCGGAGGAAGGUGAGGACGACGUCAAGUCAUCAUGGCCCUUACGUAUAGGGCUACACACGUGCUACAAUGGAGAAUACAGACGGACGCUAAGCCGCGAGGUGGUGCCAAUCCUAGAAAAUUCUUCGUAGUCCGGAUUGGAGUCUGCAACUCGACUCCAUGAAGUCGGAAUCGCUAGUAAUCGCGAAUCAGCAUGUCGCGGUGAAUACGUUCUCGGGUCUUGUACACACCGCCCGUCAUACCAUGGAAGUGGAUUGCACCAGAAGUAGAUAGUCUAACCUUCGGGAGGGCGUUUACCACGGUGUGCUUCAUGACUGGGGUAAAGUCGUAACAAGGUAACCGUA